rnacentral:rRNA from 1 species
ACGAACGCUGGCGGCGUGCUUAACACAUGCAAGUCGAACGGAAAGGCCUGCUUUUGUGGGGUGCUCGAGUGGCGAACGGGUGAGUAACACGUGAGUAACCUGCCCUUGACUUUGGGAUAACUUCAGGAAACUGGGGCUAAUACCGGAUAGGAGCUCCUGCUGCAUGGUGGGGGUUGGAAAGUUUCGGCGGUUGGGGAUGGACUCGCGGCUUAUCAGCUUGUUGGUGGGGUAGUGGCUUACCAAGGCUUUGACGGGUAGCCGGCCUGAGAGGGUGACCGGCCACAUUGGGACUGAGAUACGGCCCAGACUCCUACGGGAGGCAGCAGUGGGGAAUAUUGCACAAUGGGCGGAAGCCUGAUGCAGCAACGCCGCGUGCGGGAUGACGGCCUUCGGGUUGUAAACCGCUUUCGCCUGUGACGAAGCGUGAGUGACGGUAAUGGGUAAAGAAGCACCGGCUAACUACGUG